rnacentral:pre_miRNA from 1 species
CAAUCUGUGAUACUCAAACUGGGGGCUCUUUUGGAUUUUCUUUUGGAAGAAAAGUGCCGCCAGGUUUUGAGUGUCACCGGUUG